UGGUUCUAAAAAACGAGUCAAUAAAUUCAAGUUAUUUGUGCGAUAGAAGUCAAAUUAUAUUUGUUGAGUAUGAUGAUGGAAGCACGCUCAAUGAUUUACUGUAUGAUUGCUAGUUCUCCCCAAAAACAUUUAAUGACAACUUAACUUCAAAUAAUACCAAAAACUAUCCAACUAACACUAGUGUAACCUAGUCAGCCAGUUUGCUGGACGAAUCUCGGGCGCAGUACAACUAUUUACUACAACUAAAAUUUACAUUACGUUAAUGCCUGCCGUAUCAAUGGAAUAAGUUGUCUUGGGAAUUCGGAGAACAGUUUAUAUGACUGAGCAAAACAAUUUUAAAUCCCAGGCAAAUUGUUAGAAUUAAGAGAA